rnacentral:rRNA from 1 species
CCUAUCUGCCGUGGGCGCUGGAGAACUGAGGGGGGCUGCUCCUAGUACGAGAGGACCGGAGUGGACGCAUCACUGGUGUUCGGGUUGUCAUGCCAAUGGCACUGCCCGGUAGCUAAAUGCGGAAGAGAUAAGUGCUGAAAGCAUCUAAGCACGAAACUUGCCCCGAGAUGAGUUCUCCCUGACCCUUUAAGGGUCCUGAAGGAACGUUGAAGACGACGACGUUGAUAGGCCGGGUGUGUAAGCGCAGCGAUGCGUUGAGCUAACCGGUACUAAUGAACCGUGAGGCUUAACCUUACAACGCCGAAGCUGUU